rnacentral:lncRNA from 1 species
UAAAGUUUUUCCUUCAACCCUGUAAAUAUGCCGUGCUCUCCUAGCCCAUAAGAUUUUCACUGAGAAGCCUUCUGCCAGACAUAUUAAAGCUGCUUUGUGAGGAAACUGAGCCUCAGAGAGUCCCACACAAACACCCAAGGGGCUACACAGCUGGAUGCUGCAGAGUGAGAAUUGCAUCAGCCUGAGGCCCAAAGUCAAAGCCAAAGAUUAGCACUAGGGAGAAUGUCAGGAAUAGAAAGAGAGUAAUUAGCCAUGACUUCUAGCUGAAAGGAAACUUGGUUUUCUUAUGUAUUUUCUUAACAGGUGAGUUCACCUUUAGUGCUGCUAUUAUUGUCUCUGUCCCUUUGCUUUGUAAUAUCUUCUCUUAGCUCCUCAGCUCAAACUAUAAAAUAAAGCUUUAAACACAAAUGUUAUUUUUA